GCCAUUCGCAGUUAGUUGAGUAGCGUGGAUGGAGAAUAACGUGUGGCUGGAGAAAAAUAUGUUAAAAUGGAUAAGAUAAUAAAAGAUAAGGAUGCUCUAAUUAUGAACCUGCAGGCUCAAUUAUUGUUCGUAAUCAGUCCAUGCAGCGAUGGAACUGAACAAUUGUGGGACCGUACUUGGGCUGAAAAUGGGUGUGGUAUGGAAACCCAGAAAUGGCACGAGUUCAACAUAAAACAUGAAUUAGAAUUUUAGCGGGGGAUCAAGUCAAGUCUGGAAGUGUUACAGGAUGGAAGAGUGAGCCUACAGUUGAAAAACACUGAAAGUGCAUUACCAUUAAGAUAUGAG